rnacentral:rRNA from 1 species
CAUGCAAGUCGAGGGGUAACAUAAGUGCUUGCACUUGAUGACGACCGGCGCACGGGUGCGUAACGCGUAUAGAAUCUACCUUUUGCUGAGGAAUAGCCCAGAGAAAUUUGGAUUAAUGCCUCAUAGUAUGUUUUUAUCUCAUGAUGAUAACAUUAAAGGUUACGGCAAAAGAUGACUAUGCGUCCUAUUAGCUAGAUGGUAAGGUAACGGCUUACCAUGGCAACGAUAGGUAGGGGCCCUGAGAGGGGGAUCCCCCACACUGGUACUGAGACACGGACCAGACUCCUACGGGAGGCAGCAGUGAGGAAUAUUGGACAAUGGAGGCAACUCUGAUCCAGCCAUGCCGCGUGCAGGAAGACUGCCCUAUGGGUUGUAAACUGCUUUUAUACGGGAAGAAACACUGCUACGUGUAGCAGCUCUGACGGUACCGUAAGAAUAAGGAUCGGCUAACUCCGUGCCAGCAGCCGCGGUAAUACGGAGGAUCCAAGCGUUAUCCGGAAUCAUUGGGUUUAAAGGGUCCGUAGGUGGAUAAUUAAGUCAGAGGUGAAAGUUUGCAGCUCAACUGUAAAAUUGCCUUUGAUACUGGUUAUCUUGAAUCAUUAUGAAGUGGUUAGAAUAUGUAGUGUAGCGGUGAAAUGCAUAGAUAUUACAUAGAAUACCAAUUGCGAAGGCAGAUCACUAAUAAUGUAUUGACACUGAUGGACGAAAGCGUAGGUAGCGAACGGGAUUAGAUACCCCGGUAGUCUACGCCGUAAACGAUGGAUACUAGCUGUUCGGAACUUGUUUCUGAGUGGCUAAGCGAAAGUGAUAAGUAUCCCACCUGGGGAGUACGUUCGCAAGAAUGAAACUCAAAGGAAUUGACGGGGGCCCGCACAAGCGGUGGAGCAUGUGGUUUAAUUCGAUGA